rnacentral:piRNA from 1 species
UGGUGGCUGACUGAUGUUGUUGGAUUGU